GGUUCCAACUCCUAUAUAAAUAGCUCUCCAACUUCCUCCCAUUUUCUGUUAACUUACUAUAAACUAUUCUUCCCAACCAUCUGAUCAAACUCUCCGCCGGCGGCCGGCGUCACAAUUAAAUUCCAUCCAAAAUAACAUGAAGAAAUCAGGACUUUUAGCAGCCUCUGUUUCUGCUGCUGCCAUCUCUUCUACUACCACAACCUCUUCUUCCAAAGUUCGAAUUUCUCUUCAUCAGGAUGAUAGUUUGAAGAAAAAGGAUGGAAAUUGUUCAAAGCCUGUGAAAACAUCACCAUCUUCAGAUAAAUUUGCGCCCAAAUUUGAUGGAUUGAGGUUUAUAGAGACGCUGGUUACUGCUCACAGAUAAGUUCACAAGAAAGGGAUUUUUUUUUUGGAUAGAUUGAUAGAAUAUAAAAUACUCCCCCGUUUCAAUUUAUGUUAAACCUAUUUCCUUUUUAGUCCGUGCCAAAAAUAAUGACCUCUUUCCCUAUUUGUAAACAAUUUAUCUUUAUGCAAUGAUUUAUAGCCACACAAAA